rnacentral:rRNA from 1 species
GAUGAACGCUGGCGGCGUGCCUAAUACAUGCAAGUCGAGCGAACGGACGAGAAGCUUGCUUCUCUGAUGUUAGCGGCGGACGGGUGAGUAACACGUGGAUAACCUACCUAUAAGACUGGGAUAACUUCGGGAAACCGGAGCUAAUACCGGAUAAUAUUUUGAACCGCAUGGUUCAAAAGUGAAAGACGGUCUUGCUGUCACUUAUAGAUGGAUCCGCGCUGCAUUAGCUAGUUGGUAAGGUAACGGCUUACCAAGGCAACGAUGCAUAGCCGACCUGAGAGGGUGAUCGGCCACACUGGAACUGAGACACGGUCCAGACUCCUACGGGAGGCAGCAGUAGGGAAUCUUCCGCAAUGGGCGAAAGCCUGACGGAGCAACGCCGCGUGAGUGAUGAAGGUCUUCGGAUCGUAAAACUCUGUUAUUAGGGAAGAACAUAUGUGUAAGUAACUGUGCACAUCUUGACGGUACCUAAUCAGAAAGCCACGGCUAACUACGUGCCAGCAGCCGCGGUAAUACGUAGGUGGCAAGCGUUAUCCGGAAUUAUUGGGCGUAAAGCGCGCGUAGGCGGUUUUUUAAGUCUGAUGUGAAAGCCCACGGCUCAACCGUGGAGGGUCAUUGGAAACUGGAAAACUUGAGUGCAGAAGAGGAAAGUGGAAUUCCAUGUGUAGCGGUGAAAUGCGCAGAGAUAUGGAGGAACACCAGUGGCGAAGGCGACUUUCUGGUCUGUAACUGACGCUGAUGUGCGAAAGCGUGGGGAUCAAACAGGAUUAGAUACCCUGGUAGUCCACGCCGUAAACGAUGAGUGCUAAGUGUUAGGGGGUUUCCGCCCCUUAGUGCUGCAGCUAACGCAUUAAGCACUCCGCCUGGGGAGUACGACCGCAAGGUUGAAACUCAAAGGAAUUGACGGGGACCCGCACAAGCGGUGGAGCAUGUGGUUUAAUUCGAAGCAACGCGAAGAACCUUACCAAAUCUUGACAUCCUUUGACAACUCUAGAGAUAGAGCUUUCCCCUUCGGGGGACAAAGUGACAGGUGGUGCAUGGUUGUCGUCAGCUCGUGUCGUGAGAUGUUGGGUUAAGUCCCGCAACGAGCGCAACCCUUAAGCUUAGUUGCCAUCAUUAAGUUGGGCACUCUAAGUUGACUGCCGGUGACAAACCGGAGGAAGGUGGGGAUGACGUCAAAUCAUCAUGCCCCUUAUGAUUUGGGCUACACACGUGCUACAAUGGACAAUACAAAGGGCAGCGAAACCGCGAGGUCAAGCAAAUCCCAUAAAGUUGUCCUCAGUUCGGAUUGUAGUCUGCAACUCGACUACAUGAAGCUGGAAUCGCUAGUAAUUGUAGAUCAGCAUGCUACGGUGAAUACGUUCCCGGGUCU